CGUCAAAAAUUAUGUAUGAGUUGCACGUGACUCAAAGGCAGCCCACAACUUCAAACAAAGCAGUGUAUAAAAAAUCAUAAACCACCCAGCUAUCCACUCGCACAAAAGAAACCCACUAUCUCUUUCUUUCUCCUCUUUCUUGGGCUAUUAGAUCUGAAAACUUCAUACACUAAGCCUAAUUGUUCAUCACUGUCCUUUGUUCUUAUACAAUCUCAGCUAUCUUUUGAAACCGCUUGAAAUUUAAUGAAUUAGGGUCGAAGUCGUGUUAAUUUUCUUCCGCUCCUUCUCAAUUUCGUCAUUCGGAUACACUUAAUUUUAUUGAGUUGUUGUGAAAUUACAUGGAAUUUUUAGUUUUUAAGUAGUUGUAGAAAGCCAUUGUAUUUAAAUCUAGGGUUUAAUUUGUGUGGCGUGUUGGGUACAGGGGACUUAGUGAGAAUUUUAGGCUACAAUUAUUUUUGGUUUUGGUCUGAUUGAGAUUUUCAAUUGUUGCAGAAUUUCACUCUUUUAGUCUUAUUACUCAGAUAAUCCCUUUUCAUUUUCUCGGCUAGGUGUUACGGUAUGAACUCAAAAUUUGCGUAGAUCGGGUUUCAACCAUAUGGGAUUUAACUAAUUAUGUGGAAUUUAAAUACAAUAUCAUUUUACAUAAUUGGUUAGAGAUAUUCAGAAUACAAUAGAACUUAUGGAGUAUGAUAGAUUGAUAGUGGUGAUUAAUUUGUUUUAGAUAUCAGGAAAAAAAAAAAGUUGCGUAUAUUUCACUAUUUUAGCUUAUAUCUAAGAUUUAUGUUUUUUUUUCAUUGGAAAUCAAUCAUUUGAUGUUACAGGAAAAAAUAAGACCAAAAUGUUGAGCUUUCAAGGUUUAUAAGUUUGCAUUGACUUAUCAUUUCACAUCCAUAUAAGUUAAGAUACCAGCAAAAUAUCUAAAUACUCUCAUAAAAGACGUGUUAGCAUUCUUGUGUUUGGCAAGGUGGUGAAUAAAUUGAUUUGGCUGUGUAGUUGAAAGUGUCUGGAACACUUGAGCUUUAAUACCUUUUUAUCUUUAUGUUUAAGUUGAAGCUCAUGUUUCAUUAGUUUCCUUGUAGCUCAUCAAAUAAGAUGCACAUGUGCCACGGACAAAGUAUCAUUAGAAACAUUAUCAUAGUUCAACUAAUUAGUUUGUUUUUAAUAUAUUAUCUAUUGACAUCAUAACCCACUAUAUAUGAUUAACCUCAUUGAAAGUCAAUCUUGCUAAAGUAUUUGAAGGGAAAGUUUUGUUUUGUUUUAUGUGUGUGUGUGUUUUUUUUUUUUUUUUUUUUUUUUUUUUUUUUUUUUUUUUUUUUUUUUUUUUUUAUGCAUUGUUAAUCCUUGUAUGGGCCACAUUAUAUGCUUGUUGAGUCUCCGCAUCUGAUAAUAAUAUUGCAGGGGAGAGCUCAAACACGUGUACGCGUGAUGCAUGUGAUUUUUUAUUAAUUUUUUCAUGCUUGUUUCCUUAAUACUUUUGCUCAUAGAGAGUAGAUGAUUUUGACAACUCUGAUGUUUUGAGUUUGACUUAUUUUAAAUAUGAUCUUUCUGUCCAAAUCAAAUCAUUGCUUAAUUUUUUUAUAAUUAGAUGUUUUAUUUACUCUUUAAUUGAUUCAAUUCUCUAGAUAACUACAUAAUAAAAAUGUAUUUCCCUUGGAUUGAGCCUUCAAGGAAACUGCAAGAGUUUGUGAGAGCUUAAGCUGGAGGAGUCAUACGAAGUAGAAAUCUUGAAGAUCUUGUUAACAUGUUGCUGGAGAUUUGGACUCUAAUGGAUACACCAGGUUGCACUCAAAUUAAAGACUAGACAUGUAACGGGAAUAACCAAGAAUAAUAAAGGGUUAAGAGAUUUUGUGGCAUCCAUUGCUUGUAUUAAUACCGAGAAAUGGUAUAAAAAGGCUGACAACUACGACACAAGAUUACAAGGAUGGAAGAAAGAUAUUUUAAAGCUAUUUAAAGAUUUUAAUUAUAUAUGAUUCAAAAUUUCAGCCGAUACAAUUAGUCACGAAUGAACUAUUACUUGUAAUUAUAUCGAUUGUAAUAGAAAACUAAUUACUAUGAGAUAUUUUAUGUGUACUAAAAUAUUUAUA